CCCCUGUGGGCCUCCGCGCGCGGCCGCAUCAAGCUUAUGAAUACUCAUCAGGUGGGCGGGGGAAGUAGGCGCUCGGUCUGGACGCCCUUUUCCCGCCUCCUUUAGUUAGGUUUGCAGAGACUCUGAGCCGAAAAUCGUUCCAAUGGUUGUAGCCCGGGAGGGCCAGUUGUCUAAGGGAGGGAUCCGACUGUUCCCCCCGGAUUCUUUAGUGAAGCCGGGCCGGAGGUGCGUAUGACGUAAUAUAGUAUUGCUGUGGACUGCAGCUGCUUUUCGUGGACGUGAGAUGGCUAGGGCCACCUCAAUGGGCAGGCGUGUAAUAUAAUCCACACUGGUCAUUGCACUUUUUUAAAAAAGGGUUUUUUAUGACUGACUUUUGAUCUCAAGCCAUGCUUUUAUUUUGUAAUUUCUCCGAGAUCGAAUGAGAUCUAGCACAACAUUCUGCUGAGGGGAAGAAAGGGACAGACAAAACAAGGAAAAAGAAGAUUAUGUUACAAUGGCUAAUCCUCUGGAAUAUGUUAUGGGGAAAAACGGGGAUAUCUCCCCAGCCCUGCUUUUUUUAAAUUUCGGAUUAAAUUAUUGGAAGAAAACAGCCGCGGUGUGGAUUUCUUUGCUACUGAGCUAUGCCUGUACAAUUUUUUGCAGCGCCCUACAUUCAGUGGCCUUCAACUAGUAUGCAUAGAAUUGCAGCCCUGAGCUGCUAAGACUACUUCUUGCCCUUUCAUAUGAGAAAGUGGAUAACUUAGUAGGAACAGAACGGUAUAUAAAUUGUAGCUAUCUGGUUGAUUGUGUGUCAUGUUAGUGACAGCAGACCUAUGGCACUGUUGCGCUCAAAGUCUACUUAACAGAGGUGCUGAGAACAUGUGUCUUUCCAGUUAAGCAACAGUAUUUUCACUCUUCAUAAAAAAAGGGCUAGAAAUGUUUUAAAAUGAAAGUUCAACAUCUGAUGAAGAUGCCUGGAAUAACUCUGGGAGCCACCCCUUCCCCACCACUUCAGUUUCCAGUCUGAUAAUGGAAAAAUAAUACAAACUGCUUAAUAACUUGUGUUUUGUAUUUGUGUCACUUUUCGUUUUUGCUUUAUUCUCCAGUGUACUAGAACCAUUUGUUUGGAUGCCUUCUCAGCCCUCUACAUGCUUAUGAUUAAUUAAGCACUUACCUGUAAAAGUUUGUUCUAAAUAAACCAAUUUAUUUCUAAGGAGACAUGACAAUAUAUUAUUCAGAGAAGUGUAUAAAGACUUGAACAAGUGGUUCUAGUAUGAACUAAUCUGCGUAUUUUCCUUUCACUAUCUCUACAACUGGACUAAAUUUGGUCCAAAUUGGUUAGGUAGUUCACAAGUUAGGCCACUUGCGCCUCAAACAUUUAUGUAUCCAUCAUCUUGAAUCAGGAUGGAUGACAUCAUCACAAACUACACCACUGAAAUGUCCCUUUAACUGUACAUGAUUUGGUUCAUAUUGGUCCAGGCAUUUUGAAGUUGAUGGGGGCACGCACACCCGCACACACAAUGCCAGGUGAUCUCAAGCCUACUGGAAAGUAGGCUAAAAAAGCAAUAUAGAACUAAGUGAAGUGUGCCGUCAAGUCGAUUUCGACUCCUGGCGCCCAUAGAGCCCUGUGGUUUUCUUUUGGUAGAAUACAGGAGGGGUUUACCAUUGCCUCCUCUCACACAGUAUGAGAUGAUGCCUUUCAGAAUCUUCCUAUAUUGCUGCUGUCCAAUAUAGUACCAGCUUCAAGAUUCGAUCUGGAAACCUUUUGCUUAUUAGUCAGGCAUUUCCCUGCUGCGCCACCCCACAAUAUAAAUAUUAGCUUUGAAAUCUAUAAAAUGUCCCACUGGCAUCCUGUUGUUUUUGAUGCAUUUCUUUGUCUGCAGUUGAAAGAUUGUAUUGAAUAAAUGGUUAUAAUUGAGGUGUUAGUAACCUUGAGUCUCCAUGGAUAAAUGGAUUAUAAGUAUAAAUUAAUUCAACCACUUUCCCCCCUCUUGCUGUUUGAGAAUGGCUUGAGUAUUCCAAAUCAUGGGGCUUCUGAGUAUACAUACGCAGGGUUGGGCUCCCCACCGCCAGUUCUCCAAUCCACUUGGAUGCUGCUUGCAACUGUGCAGAGCCUCUGUGGCUUCUAAGAAUUGUGUCUGUGCUGUAGGAUGCUUCUCCCAUAGGAAAUAAUAGGAGCAGCACCCUACACAGAUGAUGAAAUCCUUAGGAACCAAAGAGGUUGCAACCAAUCAGCAUCCACUGGGCUGGGAGUUGUUUUUAAAUCAUAAUUGGGGCUGAGAAUGCCUUGGUCUUCUGAUUGCAAAUGUUUUCCAAUAGGUCUUAAGAAAUCUAAAGCAGAAUCCAGUGGCAUUGUUAGGAUUAAGUAAUUUCAUGUGGAAGGAGCUGUUGGAAGAAAGAGCUUGCUUUAUCAGAUAUUGAUACCAAACAUCUUAUUGCUUCAUUUAGAAUGAGACAAGCAGCCAGCUCCAAUGAGUCUAGCAGAAUUAGUGCUCACACCUAAUCAAAUGGAGAAAGCCACUUAAAGGAACCUAUAAAUCUUAGACCAAAUAGAGUAAUAGUGAGUGUGUGUGUGUUUGUGUGUGUGUGCGCACAUUACUGUAAGUGAUAUUUUGUCUUUGCAAGUAUUUGAGACUGAUAAAUCUGUAUGGACAUGUGGAAAAUGAUUGUACAGCUCACCAUAUUUUUGCUCACCGGCAGAUAAUUGCCAUAAUCAGAAGGUUUUUAGAGGGAGGGGGGAAAACAAAUACCACAGUCAGUGACUAGCCCCUGAGAUCUGAGGCACUAUUCAAAAGCAUAUUCUGUAUAUUUUUAGCCUACUUUUCUUAAGGAAAGUAAGCUUAUGAGAUCACCUGGGUGUGUGUACGUGUGUCUCUGUCCGACCCUUAAACUUUGCAAUGCCUUGGGCAAUAUGAACCAGAUUGUGUACAGUUGUAGGGACAUAUAUGGACACCUCAGUGGCAUAGUUGUAAUGAUCCACCUCAAUUCAAGAUGGCAGAUGUGUGAAACAUUUGAGGCACAAGUGGGUUAACUUGUGAACCGCCUAAAUGAUUUGAACCAAAUUUGGUACAGUAGUAGUCAGUGACACAUAGGGACACCUCAAUAGCAUAGUUUGUGAUGUCAUCAAUCCCGAUUCAAGAUGGCGGGUGGGUAAACAUUUGAGAUGCAAGUGGGAUUACUUGUGAACCACCUAACCGAAUGGUGUAGUUGGUGAUGAUGUCAUCCUCCCUGAUCCAAGAUAGCAGAUGCAUGAAUGUUUGAGGCACGUGGGCUAACUUGUGGACCGCCUAACCGAUUUGAACCAAAUUUGGUAUAAUUGUAGUGAGUGAUACAUAGGGACACCUCAACGGCAUAGUUGUGAUUAUGUCAUCUACCCCAAUUCAAGACGGCAGAUGCGUAAACGUUGGAGGUGCUAGCGGGCUAACUUGUGAACUGUGUAGCCGAUUUGGACCAAAUUUAGUCCCAUUGUAGAGAUAGUGAAAGGAAAGCAGGCAGAUUAGUUCUUACCAGAACAACUUGUUGAUUUUAUGCUAUCCCAUUGUUGGAACAAAUAAAACUUUACUCAUCUUUUGAUACUUUUGAGAAUCAAAACAAUUUUUGUUUUGAACUACUUAGUUCUGAAAUUUUUUAGAAAUUUGUUGUUGUUUUAACUACUUAGUUCUGAAAUUUGUAUCAUCCCCUGUCCAGAAUGUAAAAUGUUUUGGUUUUUAAUGAGACAGAAAAAAGGAUUUUUAAAAAACACCAAUCUUAAAAUAACUCUCCGUUGGCUUAGCUCCCAGCCACCAAAUGCCAGUCCAAAUAAAAAAGGACUGGCAUUGCCUCUGGAAAAUGCUUGGGCUUUGGCAAAUCUCCAGAGGAAAGGAGAUCGUAGGCAGUAACUGUGAUCACCUUUUCAUGUGCUCUUGACCUUCAAAUGUUGUAUACAGCUGGCAGUGCAAUGAAGGUGCUCUCGGUAGAUCCUAAUGGUCAGAAUGGGAAAUGGGGAAGAGAACAACAACAACAGAAGGCAAAAGAGAGAGGCACAAUUUCUUCUCAACUUAGAUACAAAAUUCUCCAUGAACUAAGUGGUAGUAAGCCUCAUGUUCCCUUUCAGUCUGUUUUAGCCACUUCCAUGUUUAAUUUUAAUCACACUUAAAGCCCAUGUUUUGAAACAGUUUUGUACCACUACCACUGCAAAAAGCUGCUUGUCAAUGGGACUAUAGUAAAUGUGUAAAAUGACACUCGGUGGGAUCCAAAGGUGUCCCUCUGCAUACAAAAGUUGUCCAACUCAUGGAAGGGUAUUAUAACUCGCACUUAAGAAUUGCACAAGACAAAUGGCAGUGAAUUCAAAUAUGCCCCCAUGUUCUUACAGUGCUAUAGGAACUACUUUUCCAUUAGCGCUGUGUGAACACUGCUGCUAGCUCAUUUGUAGUACAGAACAAGUUACUCUUUUCCUUCCACUUGUGGAUGCAAUGCCAUGUUGCUAAAUGUAGCUGUUAUUAUGCAACAGACUGAAAUCCCUUACUCUAGUACCUGAAAUAUAACUGAAAUACCUUACACUAGUAAGCUUGAAGUAUGAGCACCACUCUUUGUCACAAAACGUGCAAACCCAGUCCUCCUCCUACCACUGGCCUUGUGUUUGAUCAAAGUCGACUUCCCUCUCACUAUUCAGUCAAUAUAAUGUAACUGACUUCAAGAUGUCCUACUUAAACAAGACGAGAUUAAGUAUGGUAGGAAUAAACUGGAGGGUCUCUUGAUAUACAAUAGUCUUUCUCUUUGUUUUGUGUUAAAGAAAUACAUAGUGGAUGGAAUGCUGAAUCUAGAAUAAAGGAGCUGGGUUUUGUUUCA